rnacentral:lncRNA from 1 species
CAUGUCUUCAUGAAUCUAUCCUCUUCUCUAAGGUCUCUCAGUCUUGCUUUUUGUGAUUUGCAAGGAAAAUUCCCAAAAAACAUUUUUGAUUUGCAAAACCUCAAUCUCCUCAACUUGAGAUACAACCAAUUGAGUGGACAAAUUCCAAGAUCAUUGGGGAACCUCUUGCAACUCACUCAUUUACACUUGUCGGGGAACCAAUUGAGUGGACAAAUUCCAUUGUCAAUUCUAAACCUAACGCAGUUGGAAUACUUGGAAAUAUCUGAAAAUUCUUUAGAAGGUUCCAUUCCAGAUGAGGUAACCGCUUUUCCUAAUCUAAUAUAUUUAUACUUAUCUGACAAUUUACUCAAUGGAACACUUCCGUCAUGGUUGUAUACUGCUCCCUGCUUAAAGGAAAUAUAUCUCUCUCAAAAUCAAUUCAGUGGGCAUAUCAAAGAAUUCCAAACCAAAUCACUAGAAUAUUUAUAUCUAGAAAAUAAUAAACUCCAAGGUCCCCUUCCAUCUUCAAUAUUCCAACUUCUCAAUCUUACCGGGCUCCUUUUAUCCUCAAAUAAUCUUAGUGGUGUCAUAGAGUUGAGCAUGUUCUCAAACCUUCCAAAUCUCAAAUAUCUUGACCUUUCAUAUAACAGCCUAUCCUUAAUAUCUAAUACUACUUCUACUGUUAAUCAUAUAUUGCCUAAUCUUACAGGCUUACAUUUGUCAUCUUGCAAUCUUAGUGAAUUCCCCCAAUUUUUGAAAGGGCUUAAAAGUUUGGAAAGCUUAGACCUCUCUUGCAACAAAAUUGAAGGCAAGAUUCCACAGUGGAUGCAAGAGGUGGGGAAUGUCUCUUUGACUUACUUCAACGUAUCUCACAACUCUUUGACAGAAGUUGAGCACUUUCCAUGGAAGAAUAUUGAUGUUCUUGACUUAAGCUCCAAUUUGAUCAGUGGAAAUCUUCCGAUUCCAGCUUCGACGAUCAGAGUCUUUCUGAUCUCAAAUAAUAGUUUCAAUGGAGAGGUCUCUUCUUUAAUAUGCAAUGCCAGUUCUCUUCAAAUUCUUGAUUUGUCCCACAAUAACUUGAGUGGAACAAUUCCGCAAUGUUUCGGAAAUUUGAGCGACAGCCUUGAAUUCUUGAAUCUGAAGAAGAACAAGUUUUAUGGGACGAUUCCUCCAACAUUUGCAGAGGGAUGCCAGUUGACUAAUUUCAACUUAAAUGGAAAUCUGUUAGAAGGGCCUUUGACACCAUCCAUCCUUAAUUGUAGAGGUCUGGAAGUGCUAGAUCUUGGUAACAACAAGAUCAAUGAUACAUUUCCUCAUUGGUUGGGAAAUCUUCCAUAUUUGCAAGUUCUUGUAUUGAAGUCAAAUCAUAUGCAUGGUUCUUUGCGUGUCAAUAGCUCCAAGUCUAGCCCCUUUUUCUCUAAAAUCCAAAUUUUUGACCUCUCAAGUAAUUAUUUUUCUGGACCCCUACCUGUGAGGUACAUCAACAGCUUCAAGGCUAUCAGAAAUCUAGAGAAGAUUCGUAGUACAGUGUCGUACAUGGGGGUGAAUGGUCGGAAUGGUAGUGGCUUCUAUACCUAUUCCAUUGGAAUUGUUAUGAAAGGACAAGAUAUGGAAUUGGUGAAAAUUUUCACCAUGUGGAUGAUCAUUGAUCUAUCAAACAAUCAGUUUGAAGGGGGUAUUCCAGAGGUUUUUGGAAAGCUUAACUUACUGAAAGGGCUCAACCUUUCUCAUAAUAACCUUAGUGGUGGUAUCCCCACCUCAAUAGGGAAUUUGACAAGUCUUGAAUGGUUGGACCUAUCUUCAAACAGGUUGUCUGGGACGAUUCCAAAUAGAUUGGCAGAUCUGGCAUUUCUUUCGUCCUUCAAUGUUUCUGAAAAUCAACUCCAUGGUCAGAUUCCUCAAGGAAAACAAUUCAACACAUUUGGAAAUGAUUCAUAUCAAGGGAAUAAGGGACUAUGCGGGUUUCCAGUCUCGAAAGGUUGCAACAUCAUUGAGCCAGCACCUCCAAAUGUGCUUGAAAAAGAUGGCUCAAAAUCAAACAUUACUUUUGGUUGGAAAGUGGUGUUGAUAGGUUAUGGAUGCGGAGUGGUGUUCGGAAUGUCCGUGGGAUAUGUUGUUUUCCAAACUGGUAAGCCGAAAUGGUUGGUGAAUUUGGUUGAAAUCCAACAUGAGAAGAUGCGAAGAAGAAAGUCAAAGGAUGGCAGUCGCAGCAAUGGACGAAGAAGGAUCUAGUUAGUGGAAAUGGUGUUCAAGUGUUGAUGUUGUAUCUUCAUAAUUUCUUGUUUUGAAGUCUUUCAAUUUUUUUCCUAUGGUGAAAGGUUGCAUUGCCAUGCAUCUGUCUUUAUUAUUGUAACAAUUCAUCUAUAUUUCAUUGCAUUACGUCCUAUAACAUUUUGUAUGGUUCAACCAUUUAUAUCUUCUUUCAUGACUUCCAUUUUUGAGUCUCAAUAAUCUCUGCAUUCAAGAUUUUGUCAGCUUAUUAAUUGGUGGAUCAAUAAUCUUCAUGCUCAUCUCAUCAUCUUUUUCUCGAGUUUCUUCUGUGUGGAAAAUAAUUUGACAUUCUGCAAAUUUCCACAAUGCUUGUGGAUUACCUUUGGUUAACAGCUAUACAUAUAAAGGAAGAAAACAAGACCAUGUCCAAAUUUCCAAAAAUUAGCCAUUGAUUUUUGAACAGUUAAACUUUCGUAUUCUAUUUUUUAAAAUUGUAAAUUCUCAAAUAAUGUAAAUUAGUCCUAAAACUCAAGUUUUGAAAUCUUUACAAUUUAACCCCUUAUAGUUUCAAACUUUACUGUUUUAUACUCAACUUUCUAAAUUUUCAUAUUUCAUGAUCAUAUAAUUUAGUUACUACAUCAAUAUUUGAGAUUUCACUACUCAAACCCUUACUUCAUUUCGGUCGUUACUUCAAUUUUAUCAAAUUACAUCAUUUUUCAAUUUGAAUGCAUUGAUGUGAAAUUGAGGGACCACUAAACAAUGUUGAUGAGAGUUUAGGCAAAAUUGGUGGAUCCGAUCUCCUUAGUAAUUUCUUUGUGGAAGUACCUACUUUCACAAUGCAAACUUGGAUAGUUUGUGGUGGACGAUGAUGAAUCAUUUCACAGUCAAACACAUAAUUUUUAAACACAAAAUUAACGAUAUAUUGAAAUCAUUAUUGAAAUUAUAAUCAAAAUUAAUACAUGUUCUUUUUAUUAGCUUAAGGGCGUAAAAACCCUUCAAAAUUUUCAAAAAAAAAAAAUUUAAGUCCUUUUUUUCUACUCAAUUGAGCACUUAAACUUUUAAAAUGUAUCAAAAAUAUCUUUACACUUCUUCAAAAAAAGCAAUUAAACCCCUUUUUUUUCCGCUCAAUUGGGUACUUGAACUUUCAUAAUGCAUAAAAAAAACCUUAAAUUUUUUUUCAAAGAAACAAUUAAGCCUCUAUUUUUUUCCCACUCAAUUGGGUACUUGAACUUUCAUAAUGCAUCAAAAAGGCCUUUAUUUUUUUUCAAAAAAGCAAUUAAGCCCCUACUCUUAUUAAAAAUUAGAAAAAAUCAUAAAAAUAAUAAAGUUCAAGUACCCAAUUGAGUGCCAAAAAAUAAAGUAGGGGCCUAAUUGCUUUUUUUGAAAAUGUUUGAGGGUCUUUUUGAUGUAUUUUGAAAGUUCAAGUACCCAAAUGAGUGCAUAAAAAGAACAGGGGUUUAGUUGCUAUUUUUGAAAAAGUUUGCACCCUUAAACCUCUUUUCUUUUUCUUUUUCAUAUGUGGCCUUGUUUGCUACAACUUAGUUGCUAAGUUAAAGGGAGUGAAUAGAGCACCAUUUUCUUCUUCUGCGUGGAAAAUUAAGUUGGCAUUAUGCCAAUUUCCACAUUCAUACAUACAAAGGAAGCAAGAGCAAGUCAAUAUACUUUGUAAUCUCAUCAAUUCUAAUUUUUAAAGUGUUGUUUACUACACACUUAGGGACCAUAUAUGUAUAUAUACAUUGCAGUCUGGGUCUUUGUCGUGUUUUGUUGGUUGGCUAUGGCCUUCUUGUUGUUUCCACUGUCUGCGGUGUUUGUUUCUAAGUCAUAUGUGGCCCUGUUUGCUACAACUUAGUUGCUAAGUUAAAGGGAGUGAAUAGAGCACCAUUUUCUUCUUCUGCGUGGAAAAUAAGUUGGCAUUAUGCCAAAUUCCACAUUCAUACAUAUAAAGGAAGCAAGACCAAGUCAAUAUACUUUCUAAUCUCAUCACUUCUUCUUUCUUUAGGGAGUUCAAGUGAAAUACAAAUUUUUUCACAUCCAAUCUCAUAAAUAAUCCGUCUUUGAACUUUCACCAAAAAAUAUUAAAUACCCAUUCACUUCAAUUCUACUAUUCUUAAAUCAUUAAAGUUUUGUGGAAAAUAUGCUUCUUGGAUAAAAUUAUUCAACACACAUGCCUUGAAUUUUAUGCAAAUAAAAUAAAUGAAUAUAGGCCACACAUGCUUUGAAUUUUUAAGUAGUCCAUAAUUUUGUUCGUUUGUGUGCAAAAUUCUACAUUGCUUGACAGCCAUACAUACUAAGUAAAUAGACACCCACAUUGUUUACAUAUUAUGAGGAAGAAGACCAAGUCAAUCUACUUUGUAAUCUCAUCAAUCUUAAUUUUUUCAGUUGUUUAGGGAGUUCAAAUGAAAUACAAAAUUUUGAAAAAAAAAUGUAUCCAAUUUUGUGAAUGAAAAAUUUAUGGUAAAAAGGAUUUGGUAUGGAUACUUCAGCCCGGGUAGCAAUACUCAGGGUAAGUUUAUCAAUACAUUGCUUUUGGUUGGAAAGUGGUGUUGAUAGGUUAUGGAUGCGGGGUAGUGUUUGGAAUGGCCAAAAUAUAGCAAUCGCAUCAGUGGAUGAAGAAGGAUCUAGUUGGUGCAAAUGAAGUUAAAGCAUUUCUGCCGUCUCUUCAUAAUUUCUUGUUUGGUAGUCUGUCAGAAAGUUUUUCCUAUGGUGAAAAGUUUGAGUUGCAUUUAUAAAAUUUCCACUGUCAAAAGAUUCGAUUGCACUGCAGGGUAACAUAUUUAAGAUUGGAUUACACUGUCAAAAGAUUGCAGCAACGAUGAGAUUAAUCCAAUUACAGGAAUUGGUAUCCUAAAUGGCUUUUUGGUACGUAGCUUCAUUGACGGUACAAACUAGUUAAAAUUUCCAGCAUUCAUGUGUUUGUUUUCCCUCAAGUAAACGUAGUCAAUACUGCAAAUGGUGUGGAAGUACUGUACAUUGUGGCCCAAAUGUCCAAAAUUUCCACAUUGCAUGUAAAUUAAGUUUGCGUGAGAGAGAUAGGAGGAAGCAACAGCAAGUGUGAAGUCAAUAGACAACUGAUAGUCUUAGUCUUUUUUUGUCGAGUUAAAGUGUAGUCAAUAGACAAUUGAUAGUCUUAGCCCUUUUUGUGGAGUUAAAAGUAUAGUCAAUAAACAAUUGAUAGUUAAAUUUGUAGCAUUCUUCUUCCUCUUUAUUCUUUUGUGUGGAAAAUUAUUUGGGACCAAACUUGACGUGUUAUAAGGAAGAAGACUUUGUAAUCUCAUGAAUGUUAAUUAUUUUACUUCUUUGGUAAAAAAAGUAACCAAUUUUAUGAAUGAAAAAUAUUAUGUGGUAAAAAGGAAGUAGUUGUUCAUCACUAACAAUAUGAUGAUUGUGGAAAUACAAAAAAUCCCAUAUAUGUGUUGAAUUCUGCAUAAUAUAAAUGUCCUGCAUUGCAUGUGAAUUCUGCAAUAGACCAAACUUUACGUGUUAUAGUCCUUUAAACUGAGUUAAUGAAAAGUAACCAUUCUUAUCAAAUUUAGUUAUACUCUUAAUUUAUAACAAAGGAAAGAGUAAUUUGAGUUUAACUCAAAGGUUAAUAUGUCAUCAAUGGGUGAUGGCGUGGCGCUACCAUGUCAGCGAUUAUUUUCUUCUUUGAAUUAAGGUGAUUUCACCAAUUUUAGUUUACUUUUUUACUUCAAUUUAGGUUUAUGCUUAUUAGCUUCAAAGAUUCUAAGUGGGUGCCACAAUCAAAGGGUGAGUAAAAAGGGUUAAAAAUGAUUUUUUUAAAAUUUUUUAUUUUUAUUAAAAAUUUAGAAUUAGAAUUAGACAAAUUUUGUAAAAGUUAAGGGCUAACUUUAUUGAUUUUUUUUUUCAGAAUUCGAACUAAAAUUACAUUUUGUAAAAAGAGCUAAAUUUGUUGAGUUUUUUAUAUUUAGGAUCAAAUUGAUAGAAUGUGUAAAUAUUAGAGGUUAAAUUUGUUAUUAGAUCAAUAAAAAAACCCACAUUAGCUUUGCGUCACUCAUCUAACGACAACUAAAGGGAGAGUUAUUAAAAUAUUUAAUUUCAAAAAGUUUAGCAACUAAAUUGGAAAAUUUAAUAGUUGGGUGACUAUUUUUGCAGUUUACUACUUUUUUGGUCACCUGACUAUUAAGUGACACUUUUUAGUUGGUAUAAUAAUAAUUUUAGUCCUCAAUUUUUAUACUUUCUGUCAAUUUGACUCUGAUUAUAUAAAAUGAUUACAAAAGUGAAAUUCUUUUUAAAAUUUACAAAAUUCUAAAAAUUAAAAAUUAAAUGAAAGUAGAUAAAAAUUUCAAAUAUAAACAAAGUGAGAGAAAAUGAGGGAAAUAUUAUUUUUAAACCCUCCAACUUUUCUUUGUAUUAUCGUAAAGAAAUAUCUAAUAUCCAUUCUUUUAGAAAACAUAGAAAAAAGUAAAAAAAAAAAAGAUUAAGUAAAAUUAUCUGUAUAUAAUCUGCUUUUAUAAUUUGGGUUUUUAAAAAUAAAUUUAAAUGAAUUGAAAAUUCGAAUUGAGUUUGAAAAAUAAAAUUUUGUGGUAUAUUUUAUAUUUUUGCUAGAAAAAUGGCAUCAAAGUUGAUUUUGUAAGCUUUUGUAAUAUCAGUUACGGAUGUUCUUCAAGGGCAUGGAACUCAACUUGAAAAUUUUACUAAUUUGGUUGCAAAAAAACAUUGAGGAAGCAUAUAAUGAUCUAACCUUUUUUGUUUUGUUUUGUUUUUAAUUUGUUAUGGGAUUCUAUUGAAUGAUAAUUUUUUUUUAUUUCCCAUACAUAUUAGUUCUUCAAAAACAACAUAUUCGAGAUUUUAUUUUUCUAGAAUUUUUAUAUAGAAGUUUAUAUUUUUUAAAAUAAAUUUGAGUUUUUUUUAGAAUUUUUAUAUAGAAUCGAGGUAAAUUGGCAAAAAAAAUUAUAAAAACAAAAUACUAAAAUUGUUAUUAUAGCAACUAAAAAGUGUCAUUUAACAAUAGGGUGACCAAAUUGUAACUUUUUUAGUUAAGUGACCAAAACGAAGAUUUACCCAUAGUUUAGUGGCUAAUUAUGUAGUUUACCCUUUCAUAAUUAAAAAAUAGUUGUUAAGUUUUUCUUGUAUUAGAUAACAAUUUAGAUGGUAAAAACCCUCUUUAGUCCCUCUCAAUUUUGAUAUUAAGUAAAAUUGUCCAUUUAAAAAAAAAAUCAAAGCAAUUUAAUAUUUGUUAAUUUCGAAAGUGAGCAACUAAGGACAAUUAAUCACAAUGUCAAUAUUUUCCAUCAAUUGUACAUAUUUUUAUUGGUGUAAUAACAAAUUUAGCUCUCAAAGUUUACACAUUCUGUCAAUUUAGUCUUGAUUUAACAAAUUUAACCCGCAACAAUUACAUAUUCUAUUAACAUUGACACAUAAUAUAUAAACAUUGAGAGCUUAAUUUUUUAUUGUAUCAAUAAAAAUUAUGUACAAUUUACAUAAAGCAUUAACACAAUGAUUAAUUGUCCUUAGUUGCUCCCUUUCAAAAUUGAUCAUGAUUAAAUUGCUCUAAUUUUCUGAGAGGAACCAAUUUGUUCAAUAUAGAAAUUGAGAGGGACGAGAAAUGUGUUUUUUAUCCAUUUUAGAUACCAACAAGUGUUUGGCAUAGUCGCAAGACAUAUUACAUUCUCAAGGAGAGAAUGCGUAGUCAAACGUUGGAGAUAUCAAUGUUGUGUGGGGUAUCCAAGGAUCUCGAACACGAACUGUAAAACAUAUAUAAAGAAUAAAAAAAUAACAUCUUAAUUUAAAUAAUUAUAAAUUUUAAUUUGAAAAAAGUAUUUUGAGAAACAUAAGUUUUAGAAGUAGUAAAAUUGAAUCGAUAAAACAUGUCCAUUAUAUCAGAAUCAUAAAAAUACAACUUAAUUAAUUUGAAUUUAAACUUAACUCAACUCGACUUGAUUAUAAAAACUGAUAAUUUGAAUUCAAAAUGACAUGAUCUUGAAAUGAUUUGAAUUAAUUGUCAGACCCGAACGACAAAACUCGAAAUGAUGCAAUCCAAAAACACAAAUCAAGUGAACUAAACUACGAAAAAAAAAACCUUACACUGACUCAAAUCCAAAAUAGUUUAAUCCUAAAAUAACCUAAAUUUUAUAUAAUAAAAACUCGAAAUAACCCGAAAAUUUUUAAAUUAAAAUUGAUCCGACCCAAAUUCACACCACCUAAAAUCAAUCGUAACCACCUAAUUAAAAAGCAUGAAAUGAAAUGAUGUAAAGAGAAAAUCAGAGAAAACCAAAUAGAAAGUAACAAGCCUUUUUCAGAAUUGAAAGCAAAUUCCGUACAUUCACGACAUGCAUAAAACAACAAUGGUUUAUAGAAUUUGAGUUUUAGUCCCUGUACUUUAAAAGUUAAUUUUUCUUAAUUUAAAAACUUUAGUUUAAUCAUUUAUGUUGGUUGUAGUUUCCGUUAGCUUAAUCAACAUGUUAAAUUACUAAAUUUUGACAAAAAAUACUUACGAGUUUAAUGAUUGUACCGAGAUUUUUAAAUAAAAAAGUCGGAAGACUAAUUUCUAACCUUUUAAAUAUAGGGACUAAAAGCAUCUUUUAACUUUGAUAUUAUUAUUAUAAGCAGGGAUAAUGUCACCUUUGGCAUCUGUACUUUCAUAAAAUGUCUAGUGGUACAAGUACUUUGAAAAUAUAUAAUGUGGUACCUGAACUAUCAAUAGGUGUUAUUAUUAUGGUACAUGUACUUUGAAAAUGUUUAAUGUGGUACCUAAACUAUCAAUAUAUAUUUUAUUAUGAUACUUGAUAAAGACGGACUAUGGUGGCUUAGGGGGCUCUUUGUCCCGCCACCCUUGCAAAAAAAAAAAAAAUCGAAGAAUUUUGUUUUUUCCUUUAAAAUUUUUAGAAAAUUUCAAUUAGGCCCUCAAAAUUUUUGAAAAUUUUCAUUAUACCUUUUAAUUUUUUUGAAAAUUUUAAUUAAGCACUCUUAAAUUUUGAAAAUUCUCAUUGAUCUCACAAAAAUUUUAAAAUUUUUUAUUAGACCCCCAAUUUUUUUAAAAAAAAUCUUAUUAAACCAUUAAAUUUUUAGCAAAUUUUACCUGCCCCCUCCCCCCCAAAAAAACCUAGUCCCAACUACUAGUAUCCGCCAUUGUUACUUGGUAUUAACACUGUUAGAAAAUUGCUAAAUCAACCAAUAAAAAUUUGACACAUAGAACCCUUUUUUUAAUUAUCAAGUCCACGUGGAUAAUAUAAUAGUGAAAAAAUAAAUAAAAAAUAAUUAAAUGAAAUUAAAAAACAAAUAACUAAACAUAUGGUUAAUAAAAAAAAACCCAUACUUUCAAAGAUAAUAAAAAAUAUUAUUUAAAAAUCAAUUGAAAAUAUUAUUUUAAAAGGAAAACUCUUUGAAGAAGAUGAUCAUUUGCUUAAAUGGAGAAUAUAAUAUUUUUGGUUAUGUAAGUUUAGUAUUUACUUCUUUUUUAUUAAUCAUAUGUUUAGUUUUUUUUUUAAUUAAUUUAAUUGUUUUAUUUAGUUUUUCACAUAAUGUUAUUUUACACAUGCGGACUUGAUGAAUUAGAAAAAAAAUAUUAUGUGUCAAAUUUUCAUUGGUUGGUCUAAUAAUUCAUUAACGGUGGAUUUGUUCUACAUUGAUGACAAAGAUGUGGAGUUUAAAGAAGUAAGAACUUAUCAACAAUAUUCGAGGUUCUGUUAUAUGUUACCUUAUUAAAAAAGUCAUCACUUAAAUUCUUCUAUGUUGCCUUAUGUAUGUAGGUUCUUGAGUCACCUUUGCCAAAAGCACCGCUUGAUACAUCUGUUACAUCCCACUGGCUUGCGAUUGAAGGCAUUCAACCAGCAAUUCCAGAAAAUGCUUCAAUUGAAGGUACCGUCUUAGCUAACCUAAAUAUUCUCUCGAAGCUAUUUGUGUUGAAGACUCUCAUGGUUCAUGUUCUUUUCUGGUUUUAUCACUUUAAUCUAAUACGACUUAUCGUCAUUUCUACACGGAAUUUGUAUUUUGCUUUCCAUGCAGCACCUUCUGAUGGUAAAAAGGCUGAAUACAAAAAAGAUGGGCUUUCCGUUGAUGUCAAAUUACCUGUUAAGCAUGUAUUAUCUAGAGAGCUUCAAGUAUGUUGUACAUCUUCAGCAACAUUUUUCUGUUAAAAUACAUUUUGCACAGAAUGAUAUUAAAAGACUAAUUUGGUUGUCAUGCAGCUUUACUUUGACAAGAUCGUGGACAUUACCAUGAAUAAAUCAGUCUCAAUUCUCUUUAAACAAGCAUUACUGAGUUUGGCAACAGACUCGGGAUUACAUCCUUUAGUUCCUUAUUUUACAUAUUUUUGCGGAUAUCUCAUACCUGAUUAUAUAUGUGUGUUGCAAAGAACUUUUGGUUGGUUAUCUCGAGCUUACAUUUUUGCCACAUUUAUCUCAGGUUGCACGGAGUAAUUUCCCUCUCAUGUUUGCUUUGAUGCGUGUUGCCCGGAGUCUUCUCCAGAAUGAACACUUACACAUAGAACCUUACUUGAGUUUAUUAUUUCAAUCAUUUAGAAGUACACGAACUAAUGCAAAUAUGCUAGUGGUUUAUUUUCCACCUAUCUGAUUUUUUAAAAUGUUCUUCAGUUACACCAGUUGAUGCCAUCUAUUAUUACCUGCCUCGUUGCAAAAAGGUUAGGAAAUAAAUUCACCGACAAUCAUUGGGAACUUAGAAACUUCGCAGCAAAGCUAGUGGCAUCAUUAUGCAAAAGGUGAGGAUUUCUUUUCUUUUGGACUUAUACAUGCAUAUUCGUUUUUAUGAAUCUCAGGUGUCUGAUUUUUUAGUUAUAAACUUGGAUCUAUUCUUCAAAUCAUGUGUAUAUCAUUUUUAUGCUAUUUCACACAUGCAAAACAAAUGGUGCGAGCGUGCAUGUUAUAUGCAGAAUGCAUAGAUUAAUUACAUGUGGAUCAUUAAGCAUGCCUAUGUUUGACCAUUGUGUGUGGCUACUUUUUUUUACAUGAUCCAAUUUUCGAUAUGCUUUGCUUUUAGGUUGAAUGCGGAAAAGAUUAGAACUUAGUUUCCAGCAUAAUGAUUUGUCUUGGAUAUGCAGAUUUUUACAUGCAUUUCUUACAAGUCAAUAUUUUAUAGAUUUGGGCAUGUUUAUCACAAUCUUCAGCCACGUGUGACAAGGACACUGCUCCAUGCUUUUUUGGACCCAACGAAAACAUUUCCCCAGCAUUACGGAGCAAUUCAAGGGUUAGCAGCCCUUGGACCCAGUGUGGUAUAAUUCUAAUCUCAAAUAUUUACUAGCAACACAAUAAGAUACUUGUUUGUGGGAUCAACUGGUCAAAGAUAUUGCAAUGAUAGCCAUCUUUUUAAGCCCAUUUCUUUCAGAAAACUGUUUUGUCACUCUUUUCUGCAAGAUCCGAAGAAAGAAAGAACUUGGAAAUCUAUAGUCCAAAAGUGUAAAUAUGCGGUUUCUCUAUAGGUAUCUUUAUUAUGGCAUCUGUACAGUUUGUCUUUCAUAUGUUUGGCUAACGCUUCUUCUUCCAUGUGUAGGUUCGUUUACUUAUACUACCAAAUCUUGAAGCGUAUUUGCAGCUUCUUGAACCUGAAAUAAAAAGACACGAGGCCUGGUGUGUUUAUGGGGCCCUGCUGGUAAGUUCCACAUCAAAUUUGGUACCAGUUUAUGAGCAUCGUUUCAUUUAUUUGCUGUAGAACUAACAACACUGCAUAAAAUUUCCACUAACAGCGUGCAGCUGGACUGUGCAUGUAUGAUCGGCUUAAAAUGUUCCCCAGUUUGCUAGCACCCCCAACUCGUCCCGUUUGGAAAAGCAACAACAAAGUUGCGACAAGUAUGAUUUCUUCGAACCAUCAUAUUUACACUUAAUCCACAAGUCUCUUCUCCCCCUUUACGAUAUUCCUUUUUCUGAUCAACCAAGAUAAACGAAAAGCAAGCACGGACACCUUGAUGCAGCAGCAACAACCUGCCAAGAAAAUAGCAACUGAGAGUGCAAUAGGUAUGAUGCCAAUAAAUUCCAUGCAAGCUGAUUUACAAGGGUCAGUUAGCGGCUUUUCUACCACCGUAGGAGGUUCCAAUAUCGGUGUAUCAUCAAUGUCACGGCCGUUAUCAAACUAUAACAUGCUUGGAAGGGAGGCUGGGGGUCGAGUUUCAAAGACAUCAACCGUUCUAGCUCAGGCUUGGAAGGAAGACACAGACGCAGGGAACUUGUUAGCAUCAUUAUUUGAACUUUUUGGUGAAAGUAUGUUAUCAUUUACUCCCAAACCUGAGCUUUCAUUCUUCCUUUGAUUGAAUUUCACCUCCAAAAGCUAUAGUUUUUGAAGGAAUUUGUGUAAAUUAUCCCCAUAGUUUUUUUCAGUCUUACUGUGUUUAUCUUUAUAAGUCUUCUUUUUUUCCUUGCUCAUAAAUGUAUUGUAGUUAUCAGAAAAUAUAUUCUACUUUGGAUUUUGUUUAUAUUAAAUUUUAGGUUAAAUUCUGCUAUUAGUCUCUGUAUUUACGAAAAUGAUGGAUUUAGUCCUUAUACCUUAAUUUGAUCAAUUUUAGUCAUUGUAUUUUUUGAAUUGGUCAAUUUUAAACUAUUUACUUUUUGAAGUUUGAAAUUUUAGUCUUGAUCCAAAUAAUAAUAAUAAUUAAAUCUGCUUAUUUAAAUUCAAUUAUUAGUUUUGUAUUAUGUAGAUAGUUAUAAAUUUAGGGUGGGUUUGGAUGGGCUGUGCUUUUACCUGCAGUUAGUGUAAAAAUAGCGGCGGUGGUGAGAUUAGAUAUCCAAGGUACCUAAUUUUUAUUUUGGCCAUAAGUACUACUAAAACUAUUCUUCCGUUACCCAUUUUAUACCAAAAUGUUAUAUCGGCUAAAAAGAUUCCAACAAAUAAUAGAUUGUAUGUCAUAUAAACUUUUUUAAAAAAUCAUUAAUUAAUUAAUUUUUAUAUUUUUCUUUCUUAUUCCUUUAUAAUGUUUGACAAUGUCGAUAAUGCUUGAAAUUGGCCCACUUGAGGUCGAAACGCUGGUGAUUAAUUUUGGUUUUGAAUUUCACCACCUACUUCUCUGACCAGAGGGGAUAGAAAAAGUUCUUUCAUCGAUCAAAACUAGUAUUUUCAAAAACAGACUGAUUCUACGGGUUGGAUAGGAAAUCGGUUUGGAAAUAGGGGUUGAAUCGAUUGACUUGCGAGCAAAAACAAAUCGGUUGAACUAAGCUAAAAAAACUGGUUGAAUAAGUUCUCUCUUUUUAUAUAUAUAUAAAUAAUAAUAGGCUUUGUUUUUACUACAUGUCAAUUUUUAAUUGGUUAAUUUUUUUUUCAUAUAAAUUGAACAAUUUGACUAAUGACGGAGGUACCAAAUUAUAGUCUAGGUACCAAUUUAUGGGUUAAGCCUAUUUAUAAAAUAGACUUUUGACAGUUUGACUAAUGGCGGUAGUAACUUGGGAAAAAAAAGUAGUUUAUGUACCACUUGUGACAAAAAAUAAGAUUAGGUACCAACAUGGGAAAAUGAGUAUAAUUUAGAUACCGAUUUAUGAGUUAAGCCUAAUAUAUUUGUCGCAUAAUUUUUUGAAAAUAACAGAACUUAAUAAAUUUAACGGUUAUUGUUUGGUGAUUACUAAAAUUUUAAAAUUUGAAAAGUACAUGAACUAAAAAUGACCAAAUUAAAAUAUAAAUAUUAAGUCCACAACUUUUGCAAAGUACAAGGACUAAUUGCAGAAAUUAACCUAAAUUUCAUAUGGGUCAAUUACAAAAAUAAUCACUAAACUAUCCCUUUGGUUCUAUUCUAGUCACUCAACUAUAUAGGUGCUCAUGAGCUUGGCCAGGUCAGGCCUAAGUAAGGGUGAGCAUUCGAUUGAAUCGAAAAUAGGGUUUGGGAUAGAUGGGAGGGGAAUAAAAGUUUUAGGGGAAAAGUGGGAGGGAGUAAAAAUUUUGGGAGAAAAUAAAAGGUUUUGAGGGUUUUGGGGAGUAAAAUAUUGAGAAAAAAUAAAUAGGAGAGUAAAAUUUUGGUGGGAAAUGGAUUUUGGGUAGAUUGGGGGGUUGGGAGGGGAGGGGAGUAAAAGUUUUGGGGGGAAAGUGGGAAGGAGUAAAAGUUUUGAGGGAAAAGUAAAAAAGUUUGGGAGUUUGGGGUAAAAAUGUAAAAUAUUAUAGUUUGAUAUUCGAAUUAUUCGAAUUAUUCGAGUUAUUCGAAUUCGAAAACUCAACUCGAUUCGAACUCGAAAUUCGAAAAAAAAUUCGAGUUGAUUCGAAUAACUCGAUUCGUUUAACUCGAAAUUUGAAUUUUUUUCAAUUUUUUCGAGUCGAAUCGAGUUUUGCUCACCCCUAGUUGCAAGUGCAACUUGCGUGGUGGCUGCCAGAAGGACUGAAUCGUAAAUGUAGCAAAAGUUUUGGGGCAAAAAUGUAAUUUUGAGAAAGUUUAGGGUCAAAAUAUAAUUUUAAAAAAUAUUAAGGGUUAAAAUAUAAUUUUAUAAAAAUUUAAGGGUCAAAAUGAAAUUUUAGAAAAGUUCAGAGGUCAAAAUACAAUUUUUAAAUUUUUUUUAAAAAAAAAAACACGAAAUUAUUCCCACAAAAUUAAGUGAUUACACGUAACUUUUCAAUGUAAAAGAAAAAAAAGACUGUAACACCAAUGUUGUGGUGUUAUUUGUUGCCUAUAAAUACCAUUCCUAUUCUUCAUCUUCCUCUGCAAACAUAACAUGGCCCCCUAUCUCUUUCUCUGCCUAUUCCUCUUCUUUCCCCGUCUUUAUGCUUCUUUUUCUUCUUCAGGAUAUCAGUCCUGCUCUUCAUUAAUCCAGUUUAAGGACUCUUUUUCCAUAACAGAGGAUGCUUCUUCUGAUUGCAAUGAGAUUGCUGGCCUUAAAUCUUAUCCCAAGACAAAUUCAUGGAAGGAGGGUACAGAUUGCUGCUCAUGGGAUGGGGUCACUUGUGACCACCUAAAUGCUCAUGUUAUUGCCCUUGACUUGAGCUGCAGUUGGCUAUAUGGCAACUUCCCUUCCAAUACCACUCUCUUCCUUCUUCCUCACCUUCAAAAACUCAACCUUGCCUACAAUGAUUUUAAUCUUUCCAAAAUUCCAUCCGAGUUCGGUCGGUUUACAAGCCUAUUCUACCUCAACCUUUCCCAUACAGAGUUUGAAGGAGAAGUCCCAUCCCAAGUCUCCCACCUGUCAAAAUUGGUUUCACUUGAUCUCUCCUCUCGGAUUGAUUACUCUGGGCAAGUUACAAUUGACAAACAUGCUCUGGAGGGACUUGUUCACAACCUAACCGAGGUCAGACAUCUGUUUUUGGAUGGAAUGGACAUGUCUUCUGUUAAUGCUCAUGUCUUCAUGAAUCUAUCCUCUUCUCUAAGGUCUCUCAGUCUUGCUUAUUGUGAUUUGCAAGGAAAAUUCCUAAAAAACAUUAUUGAUUUGCCAAACCUCAAUCUCCUCAACUUGGGACGUAACCAAAACCUCAAUCUUGAUCCUUUGAAGUUCAAUCGGAGCAGCAAUCUCGAACAUUUGGAUCUGUCGUGGAUGUCCUUCUCUACAGAAUCCGUUAAUUCAGUUGAUAAUCUACA